AUCGCUUCUCGGCCUUUUGGCUAAGAUCAAGUGUAGUAUCUGUUCUUAUCAGCUUAAUAUCUGAUACGUCCUCUAUCCAAGGACAAUAUAUUAAAUGGAUUUUUUGUAAUCAGGAGUUUGAAAAGGAGCUUGUUCUGUCCACUCCACGCAUUGUUUUGGUAUUGCGGUACUUCCAGGAACCCCCUCA